rnacentral:rRNA from 1 species
UACGGGGGGGGCAAGCGUUGUUCGGAAUUACUGGGCGUAAAGAGCUCGUAGGCGGUUUGUCACGUCGGAUGUGAAAGCCCGGGGCUUAACUCCGGGUCUGCAUUCGAUACGGGCAGACUAGAGUGUGGUAGGGGAGAUCGGAAUUCCUGGUGUAGCGGUGAAAUGCGCAGAUAUCAGGAGGAACACCGGUGGCGAAGGCGGAUCUCUGGGCCAUUACUGACGCUGAGGAGCGAAAGCGUGGGGAGCGAACAGG